rnacentral:rRNA from 1 species
UACGUAGGGGGCAAGCGUUGUCCGGAAUCAUUGGGCGUAAAGCGCGUGUAGGCGGUUCGAUAAGUCUGCUGUGAAAGUCCAGGGCUCAACCCUGGAAAGCCGGUGGAUACUGUCAGACUAGAGUGCGGAAGAGGCGAGUGGAAUUCCCGGUGUAGCGGUGAAAUGCGCAGAUAUCGGGAGGAACACCAAUUGCGAAGGCAGCUCGCUGGGACGUUAC